GUCCUUGUUGAUUAGUGGUUAAAAUUGGGUUAAAUCAUCUGAUGUACACAUCAGGCUCCGGAGGUUCGAAUCCUCCCUAGGACA
rnacentral:tRNA from 1 species